rnacentral:lncRNA from 10 species
CGACACCAUAGAGGUGGGCCUUCCGCGACGCCACAGGAGCGGGUGUUCGCCUACGUCACUGGGGCGCUACAGUACCUGGAGCUGGGCAGUCUUCUCAUCAGAGUGGGGACUAAUAACAGUGACCUCCCCGCCAGGUCCUGUGUGUUGCCGGCUGAAGAAGGGUAGCUGAAAAAUUCAGACCCAGCACAGUGUUUAUGUUGGUCAAAAAUAGAAAACUAUGUCUGGCGUGGCCGAGGCGGGAGGACCCUUCAGGCCAAGAGCAGCCUAGCAACAUGGCGCAACCCCAUCUCUGUAGUCCUACCUCAGACCCCCAGCUACUUGAACCCAAAGGUUCAAGGCUCCAGUGAGCUAUGAUCCCACCACAGCAUUCCAGCCUGCGAGAUUGAGAUGAUGAUUAUUCCCCACCUUCUGAGAGACAAAGACCAACGAGCCACCACAGCCACCAGUCCCAGAACCCGCC